rnacentral:lncRNA from 1 species
AAGAACCACAAGUCUGCAGAUGCCUCAAGAGCCUCAGCUUAAGCCUAAAAUCUUCUCCUGAAUCACCAGUGAUAUGGAUUCCGCUUCUUAGGAAAUACUGUAGUUAAUAAAAGUGCAACUAGAACUAGGAGAACUGUGAAGACCUGAGCAAUGUAGGCAUCAGGUAGUAAUUGGGAUCACGGCAAUGGAUUGAUAAAGAUUUUGUAUACAUCUCAACAUUUGACCUCUCUUGUCUCUGUGACUGAGGACCAUAUGUAAUGGUGAAGUUGAGAUGAUGAUCAAAGUCUUACUUCAGACAAAUCAUGAGCCUCAGAGGAAGUGACGACAGAGAUGUCUGUGGACACUAUUGAAGAGGAAGGCUUUGCUAAAUCUUCAUGGAGCCAUGUGAGGACACAGUGUUUGAGUCACCAUUUUGAAAGCAGAGAGAUGGGGACCUCACCAGACACGGAACCUGCUGGUGCCUUGAUCUGGGACCUCUCAGGCUACAGAACUAGAGUCCUUCCUAUGGAGGAGACAUUAUGCUAGAAUUUUCACACAGA